rnacentral:lncRNA from 1 species
GUUGGGGUCUGUCCUUAGAAAGUCACUGUUGGGGGAGGAACUUGGGCAGCAGGCAUGGGGAAGCUGUCGUGGCUUUCUGAGUGGAUAAGUGACAUGGACAUAGCUACCUGUGAGAAAGGUGAGCUGGCAGCAGUGCAUGCAGACAUGUGACCAGGCUCACCCACCUGAGUUUCCCAGAAGAUCCCUGCAGAAAAAACCUGGCAUCAAUAACUCUUAUUUGAACAGCACUUUACAGUUUGCAAAGAGCUUCCGCAGCCUUGACUCUUCUAAGGCUCACAGCCCUGCUGUGAACAACUUGGUGGCAUUUCCACUUUAUGUGUCAGGAAACAGAGGACUUGCCCCAGGUUGCACAGUGAGUCAAGGUUAAGGCCAGGAUCCUGGUCCUGUUUUUUUCUGAUUCCAAAUCCUGGACUCUUCUGAGCACCAUUCUGGCUAACCAGUCCUCAGGCCCAGCUCUGUCCCUCCCCAGCCUCGCCUGCUCCACGAAGAACAUUCCAGCUCCUGGCCUGCUCCACCCUCUCUUCCCCCACAGCCGCCCCAGGUGCCCAGGCUGCGGCUGCGUUUGCAGGACCCACAGCGAAGGCGAUGGGAAGGGGGGCCCUUGCUCAGGAGAGAAGCCUCUCAGACUCCGUUUCCUGCAGCGGGGGGCUCCUGGGCCCUGGCCCUGGCCACCCAGGAGACAGGGCCUGCCCGGGCAGAGCGGCGGCUCCGAGGCCCUCAGGCUGCCUUGUUUCCCCGUUGCCCAGACUCCGAGGCCUGGCCUGUCAGCUCGGGCCUGCUGUGACCUGGGAAGUGACGGGGCGGGGGGAGGGGUGGUUUCAGUCGCUGAUGAAAGCCACCGAAACCAGAACCAAACACACAGGAAAAGGAAGAACAAGAAGAGGCGCGAGCUGCCGGGUCGCAGGCGUGAUUGGGCUUGUCCCCCAGGUGGGGAGAUGGAGACAAAGACAGAAGCAUCCCCACAGCAAGCUACAGAGCCUCCGCAGGGCUGCUUGUGCGCGGGGCUCCCAGGCCUGGAAUGGUCUGUAGAAACCAUGCCUUCGGCUCCCUGAGUUUCAAGCAACAGCCCCUGCCAGAGCGAGCCGUUCACCUCGGUACUCAGGAGGCCUGGUGUGGAGAAGCCUUAACAGUGUAAGCCGAGAGGUAGCACCAUCGAUUCCUGUCUAGACU